AACGAACGCUGGCGGCAUGCCUAACACAUGCAAGUCGAACGAGACCUUCGGGUCUAGUGGCGCACGGGUGCGUAACGCGUGGGAACCUGCCCUUAGGUUCGGAAUAACUCCCCGAAAGGGGUGCUAAUACCGGAUAAUGUCUUCGGACCAAAGAUUUAUCGCCUUUGGAUGGGCCCGCGUUGGAUUAGCUAGUUGGUAGGGUAAAAGCCUACCAAGGCGACGAUCCAUAGCUGGUCUGAGAGGAUGAUCAGCCACACUGGGACUGAGACACGGCCCAGACCCCUAGGGGGGGGAGCGGGGGGGAAUAUGGGAAAGGGGGCGAAAGCCUGCACCAGCAAUGCCGGGUGAGUGAAGAAGGCCUUGGGGUUGAAAAGCUCUUUUACCCGGGAGUAAAAUGACAGUACCGGGAAAAUAAGCCCCGGCUAACCCCGU
rnacentral:rRNA from 1 species